rnacentral:rRNA from 1 species
GAUGAACGCUGGCGGCGUGCCUAAUACAUGCAAGUCGAGCGAACGGACGAGAAGCUUGCUUCUCUGAUGUUAGCGGCGGACGGGUGAGUAACACGUGGAUAACCUACCUAUAAGACUGGGAUAACUUCGGGAAACCGGAGCUAAUACCGGAUAAUAUUUUGAACCGCAUGGUUCAAAAGUAAAAGACGGUCUUGCUGUCACUUAUAGAUGGAUCCGCGCUGCAUUAGCUAGUUGGUAAGGUAACGGCUUACCAAGGCAACGAUGCAUAGCCGACCUGAGAGGGUGAUCGGCCACACUGGAACUGAGACACGGUCCAGACUCCUACGGGGGGCAGCAGUAGGGAAUCUUCCGCAAUGGGCGAAAGCCUGACGGAGCAACGCCGCGUGAGUGAUGAAGGUCUUCGGAUCGUAAAACUCUGUUAUUAGGGAAGAACAUAUGUGUAAGUAACUGUGCACAUCUUGACGGUACCUAAUCAGAAAGCCACGGCUAACUACGUGCCAGCAGCCGCGGUAAUACGUAGGUGGCAAGCGUUAUCCCGAAUUUAUGGGCGUAAGCGCGCGUAGCGGUUUUUUAGUCUGAUGUGAAAGCCCACGGCUCAACCGUGGAGGGUCAUUGGAAACUGGAAAACUUGAGUGCAGAAGAGGAAAGUGGAAUUCCGUGUGUAGCGGUGAAAUGCGCAGAGAUAUGGAGGAACACCAGUGGCGAAGGCGACUUUCUGGUCUGUAACUGACGCUGAUGUGCGAAAGCGUGGGGAUCAAACAGGAUUAGAUACCCUGGUAGUCCACGCCGUAAACGAUGAGUGCUAAGUGUUAGGGGGUUUCCGCCCCUUAGUGCUGCAGCUAACGCAUUAAGCACUCCGCCUGGGGAGUACGACCGCAAGGUUGAAACUCAAAGGAAUUGACGGGGACCCGCACAAGCGGUGGAGCAUGUGGUUUAAUUCGAAGCAACGCGAAGAACCUUACCAAAUCUUGACAUCCUUUGACAACUCUAGAGAUAGAGCCUUCCCCUUCGGGGGACAAAGUGACAGGUGGUGCAUGGUUGUCGUCAGCUCGUGUCGUGAGAUGUUGGGUUAAGUCCCGCAACGAGCGCAACCCUUAAGCUUAGUUGCCAUCAUUAAGUUGGGCACUCUAAGUUGACUGCCGGUGACAAACCGGAGGAAGGUGGGGAUGACGUCAAAUCAUCAUGCCCCUUAUGAUUUGGGCUACACACGUGCUACAAUGGACAAUACAAAGGGCAGCGAAACCGCGAGGUCAAGCAAAUCCCAUAAAGUUGUUCUCAGUUCGGAUUGUAGUCUGCAACUCGACUACAUGAAGCUGGAAUCGCUAGUAAUCGUAGAUCAGCAUGCUACGGUGAAUACGUUCCCGGGUCU